rnacentral:tRNA from 1 species
CCCCUGUCAGUCUAGUGGCUAGGACCCCUGGUUUUCAUCCAGGUUACCCAGGCUCAAUUUCUGGGCAGGGAA